rnacentral:rRNA from 1 species
CCUACGGGCGGCAGCAGUGAGGAAUAUUGGUCAAUGGACGAGAGUCUGAACCAGCCAAGUAGCGUGAAGGAUGACUGCCCUAUGGGUUGUAAACUUCUUUUAUAUGGGAAUAAAAUGUUCCACGUGUGGGAUUUUGUAUGUACCAUAUGAAUAAGGAUCGGCUAACUCCGUGCCAGCAGCCGCGGUAAUACGGAGGAGCCGAGCGUUAUCCGGAUUUAUUGGGUUUAAAGGGAGCGUAGGUGGAUUGUUAAGUCAGUGGUGAAAGUUUGCGGCUCAACCGUAAAAUUGCAGUUGAAACUGGCAGUCUGGAGUACAGUAGAGGUGGGCGGAAUUCGUGGUGUAGCGGUGAAAUGCUUAGAUAUCACGAAGAACUCCGAUUGCGAAGGCAGCUCACUGGACUGCAACUGACACUGAGGCUCGAAAGUGUGGGUAUCAAACAGGAUUAGAUACCCGAGUAGUC